rnacentral:tRNA from 1 species
GCCUAGUUAGCUCAGUUGGCUAGAGCGUGGUGCUGGUAAUGCCAAGGUUGCAGGUUUGAUUCCCGUUAUAUGGGACA